ACGUAGGGGGCAAGCGUUAUCCGGAUUUACUGGGUGUAAAGGGAGCGUAGACGGAACAGCAAGUCUGAUGUGAAAACCCGGGGCUCAACCCCGGGACUGCAUUGGAAACUGUUGAUCUAGAGUGUCGGAGAGGUAAGUGGAAUUCCUAGUGUAGCGGUGAAAUGCGUAGAUAUUAGGAGGAACACCAGUGGCGAAGGCGGCUUACUGGACGAUGACUGACGUUGAGGCUCGAAAGCGUGGGGAGCAAACAG
rnacentral:rRNA from 1 species